UGGUGGAGUGAUUUGUCUGGUUAAUUCCGUUAACGAACGAGACCUCGACCUGCUAAAUAGUUCGGCGAAGUGUUCGCAUUUCGUACGUGACUUCUUAGAGGGACUAUCGGUGUGUAGCCGAUGGAAGUUCGAGGCAAUAACA
rnacentral:rRNA from 1 species